CCUACGGGAGGCUGCAGUGGGGGAUAUUGCACAAUGGGGGAAACCCUGAUGCAGCGACGCCGCGUGUGGGAAGACGGUCCUCUGGAUUGUAAACCACUGUCCCCAGGGACUAAGAUGACGGUACCUUGGGAGGAAGCUCCGGCAAACUACGUGCCAGAAGCCGGGGUACUACGUAGGGAGCGAGGUUUGUCCGGAAUUACUGGGUGUAAGGGGAGCGUAGGCGGGACUGCAAGUUGGGUGUCAAGUCUACCGGCGAAACCGGUAGCCGCACUCAAAACUGCAGUUCUUGAGUGAAGUAGAGGCAGGCGGAAUUCCUAGUGUAGCGGUGAAAUGCGUAGAUAUUAGGAGGAACACCAGUGGCGAAGGCGGCCUGCUGGGCUUUUACUGACGCUGAGGCUCGAAAGUGUGGGGAGCAAACAGGAUUAGAUACCCCAGUAGUC
rnacentral:rRNA from 1 species